GACCGCGUAGCUCAGUUGGCAGAGCAUUGGGCUAGUAUUCCAACGGUCGUGGGUUCGAAUCCCACCGUGGCCA
rnacentral:tRNA from 1 species